rnacentral:siRNA from 1 species
AGCUAUGAGCCUAUGAUUGGA